AUGGAACGUGCUGAUAUAUUGCGUAAUCGGCGCAAGCGGAGGUUGAUAUGGAGUUACCGGUCGGGAAGGAAGAAAGUUCGGGGGAUGGAACCUCCUUUACCAAAGGAGUAUAUUAUUUUGAUUAAAGCUACAUCUAGAGGUCGUUCCUAUUAUGGUGGGCUAGAAUUUAAUUGCCACAGAAUUGCUCGGCAAAGUUUGUGCAGUCCUUAUGUGUCCAAGGUGUCUAUACGUUUUUUGGGUGAUGAUGGCGGUCCUCAUGGUACACGUUUUUCUGGGCCUACUGCUUCAGAGGUUGCUGCACUUAUACAUAUAUCUGCUCUCAAUUGUAAUCUCAUGGCCUUGCAAUACCCUAUUCUCUUUCCAUAUGGGGAUAAGAGUUAUCAUCUGGGGAUCAAAUAUGUUGAUACUGAUGUUCAUCGUGCCACAGUGGGUGCAAGUGUGCCAACUAUUGAUCAGUUGUAUGAUUAUGAUGAAGAUGACGACAAUGGUAAUAGCAUUGUUUCCCAAGAUGUUAGAGCUGCCCGUGGAGAAGUUACUAUGUUGGAGUACUGCAAUUACUAUUUUCAUUAUCGUGAGGGUGAGGUGAACCCAUAUACAACUUAUGCUCGUCUAAGCCAACAAGUGGCCGUUAAUGCAUACUCGUGCGUGGAAUCUGAUCGUUUGGAGUAUCAUUUCCGGAAGCAAGAUAAACUUCGUUUAGAGACUUAUCAGGGUAUAUCUGAUGCAAUGGGUGAAGGUAAUUCUACAGGAAAGAAUAUUGGUGUUCAGUUCAUAUUGCAUGGUAGUUUCACUGGUGGCCGACGUUACAUGUUGCUAAAUUAUCAUGAUGGGAUGGCCAUAUGUCGUGAGUAUGGUGCUCCCGAUCUAUUUGUUACGUUCACAUGCAAUCCUAACUGGCAGGAGAUUGCCGAUGCUCUUGCUGAUGAGCCAGGACAGAGAGCUGCUGAUCGACCAGACAUUACUACUCGAGUAUUUAAUAUGAAGUUUGAUGAAUUUUUGGAUGAUCCUUUGGGUUAUGCUCUUGUGGAUGAGUUUAUGGUACAUGGACCAUGCGGAAUGUACAAUACUACAUGUGCUUGCAUGAAGAACAACUGUUGUUCCAAGCAUUUUCCCAAGGCAUUUAGUGAUGAGACAAUGGUUGACCAUGUCGGAUUUCUGCCUAUCAAAGGUAUCUUUCUACAUGUGAAGCUUUUUGGAGGAUGUUUGCAUAUAAUAUCCAUGGUCGCGAACCUUCAGUCGAGAGAUUAA
rnacentral:rRNA from 1 species